GUCCUUUUGGAACAGAGGACAUCUUCUCGCACAUCUUUGGUGGGAGCCCUUUUGGAGGAAUGUUUGGCAUGGGUGGGUCAAGUGGUCGGAGGCGCCGUCAACGAGGUGAAGACACAAUUCACCCUUUGAAGGUGUCAUUAGAAGAUUUAUACAAUGGUAAAACAGUGAAACUUGAAGUGGACCAUACUGUUAUUUGCAG